rnacentral:tRNA from 1 species
CAAAUUAGAGCUUGAUUAUAAAGUAUUUCAUUUACAUUGAAAAGAUAUUAAAUUUAAUUAAUUUGA